rnacentral:rRNA from 1 species
CCUACGGGUGGCAGCAGUGAGGAAUAUUGGUCAAUGGGCGCGAGCCUGAACCAGCCAAGUAGCGUGAAGGAUGACUGCCCUACGGGUUGUAAACUUCUUUUAUAAAGGAAUAAAGUGAGGCACGUGUGCCUUUUUGUAUGUACUUUAUGAAUAAGGAUCGGCUAACUCCGUGACAGCAGCCGCGGUAAUACGGAGGAGCCGAGCGUUAUCCGGAUUGAUUGGGUGUAAAGGGAGCGUAGAUGGGUUGUUAAGUCAGUUGUGAAAGUUUGCGGCUCAACCAUAAAAUUGCAAUUGAUACUGGCAGUCUUGAGUACAGGUGAGGGAGGCGGAAUUCGUGGUGUAGCGGUGAAAUGCGUAGAUAUCACGAAGAACACCGGUGGCGAAGGCAGCUUACUAGACUGCCACUGACAUUGAUGCUCGAAAGUGUGGGUAUCAAACAGGAUUAGAUACCCUAGUAGUC